rnacentral:lncRNA from 1 species
GAGAUGCCUUGUGCUUGUGUGAACAGUGCAGAUAACUUCUGCUAUGUUUGUGAUGACAUGACUUUUGCAUCACAAAAGUGCAGUAUAGCCACUAUGGUUAAGAAAGCCUAUCACCUUUAUUUUGGCUGCAAAAUUGGAGAGCAGUACAAGAGGUGGGCCCCACACAUAUGCUGCAACACUUGUGCAACAAAUCUUCGCCAGUGGUUGAACAGGAAAAGGAAAUCAAUGCCUUUUGCAGUGCCAAUGAUUUGGCGAGAGCCAACAGAUCAUACCAGCAAUUGUUACUUCUGCAUGGUGCCUCCAGUUGGGAAAGGUGUGUCAAAGAAGAAAAAGUGGACUGUGCAUUAUCCAAACAUUCCAUCAGCUAUACGCCCAGUAUCCCACAGAGAAGGACUGCUGGUUCCUCAUGCACCAGAAUCAUUCUCACUUGAGUCAGACGAGGAAGAGGAAAAGGGUGAAACUUCUGGUCUUGAACCAUCAAUGUCACAGGACCCACAUUUUCUCCCAUCCUCCUCCUCUGAACCACACCUCAUAACACAAGGUGAACUGAAUGACCUUGUCAGGGAUUUGAAACUACCCAAGAGUAAGGCAGAGCUGUUGGGCUCCAGACUACAGCAGUGGAAUCCCCUAGCAGGUGAUGUUAGGGUUUCCAUGUUCCAUGACCGUCAAAAGGAUUUUGUCCCAUUCUUCUUCAUGAAAGGUGAACUUGUAGCCUGCAACAACAUCGAUGGUGUGAUGGCAGCCCUCAACAUCAUUCACGAUCCAGAUGAGUGGAGACUGUUCAUUGAUUCAUCGAAGACGAGUCUUAAAGCUAUUUUACUGCAUAAUGGCAAUGUUUUGCCAUCAAUUCCAGUUGGUCAUGCAGUCCAUAUGAAGGAAACCUAUGACAACAUGAAACAACUUUUGAGGUGCAUAAACUAUGACCAACAUCACUGGCAGCUUUGUGGUGAUUUGAAGGUUGUUGCUCUCUUGCUUGGUCUGCAGACUGGAUACACAAAGUUCUGCUGUUUUCUCUGCGAAUGGGAUAGUCGUGCAAGAGAUUCCCACUACAUCAAGAA